rnacentral:rRNA from 1 species
AAUAGAUACCCCGGUAGUCCACGCCGUAAACGAUGAGUGCUAAGUGUUAGAGGGUUUCCGCCCUUUAGUGCUGCAGCAAACGCAUUAAGCACUCCGCCUGGGGAGUACGGCCGCAAGGCUGAAACUCAAAGGAAUUGACGGGGGCCCGCACAAGCGGUGGAGCAUGUGGUUUAAUUCGAAGCAACGCGAAGAACCUUACCAGGUCUUGACAUCCUCUGACACUCCUAGAGAUAGGACGUUCCCCUUCGGGGGACAGAGUGACAGGUGGUGCAUGGUUGUCGUCAGCUCGUGUCGUGAGAUGUUGGGUUAAGUCCCGCAACGAGCGCAACCCUUGAUCUUAGUUGCCAGCAUUCAGUUGGGCACUCUAAGGUGACUGCCGGUGACAAACCGGAGGAAGGUGGGGAUGACGUCAAAUCAUCAUGCCCCUUAUGACCUGGGCUACACACGUGCUACAAUGGAUGGUACAAAGGGCAGCAAAACCGCGAGGUCGAGCAAAUCCCAUAAAACCAUUCUCAGUUCGGA